CCUAGCCUUAAGGAUGGGGAUAACAGACGGAAACGACUGCUAAUACCGAAUACGUUCUAAGCAUCGCAUGAUGCAUAGAAGAAAGGGUGGCCUCUACAAGAAAGCUAUCGCCUUAAGAGGGGUUUGCGACUGAUUAGGUAGUUGGUGAGGUAAUGGCUCACCAAGCCGACGAUCAGUAGCCGGUCUGAGAGGAUGAACGGCCACACUGGAACUGAGACACGGUCCAG
rnacentral:rRNA from 1 species